rnacentral:rRNA from 1 species
GUGUCAGCCGCCGCGGUAAUACGUAGGGGGCAAGCGUUGUCCGGAAUCAUUGGGCGUAAAGAGCGUGUAGGCGGCUUGGUAAGUCUGCUGUGAAAGUCCAGGGCUCAACCCUGGAAAGCCGGUGGAAACUGUCAAGCUAGAGUCCGGAAGAGGCGAGUGGAAUUCCUGGUGUAGCGGUGAAAUGCGCAGAUAUCAGGAGGAACACCAAUGGCGAAGGCAGCUCGCUGGGACGGUACUGACGCUGAGACGCGAAAGCGUGGGGAGCAAACAGGAUUAGAUACCCUUGUAGUCC